CACACGGAUAUCAUCUUUUCAUACAAGCUCUCAGUGUGGGUGGUGUGGCAAAAGGAUUUUAAGCUGAUGCUGGAUGACUUAUCAUGUAGCAGAGAACAGGACCGGGCCUGUGGAAUGAUGGAAAUGUUAUCUGAUGCUGUAGGGGUUGUAUGAGCCAAGCAUCCGCCAGCCCAUAUUCUCAUCGGUCUCGAUACAUGUUGUAAGUCCCCAACAGAUGACCCCCAUGGAAAUUGAACACUGACUUGUAUAUGAUCACAUGUCCCGACACAUGCACAAUCAUUCAUGGACACAAGCACCAAUACAAAGAACAGCAUAAUCACACAAAUCCAGUUCUUGUUAUCUACAUUAUAUAUAAUUUAUGUCAAAAUUCUAUUUUGGCAGGGUCUUGCUAUCAUAUUAGAGCCCUUUGAAAUCAGAGCUGUAUCCACAAUGAUGCUGCUUUACAUAUCAAAGCCUGCUGAUUUAUUUCAAGUGUUCACCUGACCCAGAGGAUGAACUGUUUAUUUCACUCCUCUUCUCAGAAACAUGUGUUGCAGCUGAGUGUUUGUGUGUGGAUUCUGUGGCUCCUAUCACGGGGCAGUGUUUGAUCUCAGAGGUGUAGAUGGUUGUUUAUCUUCUGCAGCCUGCGAAGGUGUAUCUGAUCAAAGUGCAGAAUGGUGUGUUUAGCAGCAUAGCCAGGGUUUUGUCAGGCAGCCACCGAUAUGGAACGUGCAAAUGCGGAGAAGCAGCGGCCUCGUAGGCGCCCAUGGAGAAAGAGCACUCAGCGUCUCUCACGCGGGGAGCUCUGCUGCUCGUGUUUGCGCAGCGAGGAGAGGGAUCCUCUGCAGCAGCAGGAAGAGAAGAUUAAUGGGGACUCUUUACAUCCACACUUGGAUCAACGGGGAUCAGCUGAGAGGGAGGCUAUCCAGAUUACGGUAGAGGAUCUGGGGAUAGUUAACACCAGCUUCAGCCUGUUCGAGGAGGACCCCCUAACCUCGAGCAACAGCGAGGCCCGCUCAACCGGCUCUGUGUCUGACCCGUUGCUGUCUGAGAGUGGCACCGGUACUACGCCAACUCCUGGAAGCCUCCUGACACCGCCCGUCAUUAAUCUGAUCCCACCCUCUCCAUCUGACGUCGUUGACGACGAUCAGUUCUUUGACAUUAAUUCAGAAGAAAGUGUGGCAAAUACAUCUGGCAGCGAUGGAAGCUUUGGUGCUGGUGACCAGGAGAGCUAUGAGGAAAAGAUGGAGAGUGCUGAGGCAAAGGAGUCAGUGGAGGAAAUCACACUGACUGAGAAAAUGGUCAGGUCAGCUGAGCCUGAAGAGGGCCCACGUAAGGAGUCUGGAGAAGAAAGAGAGGCUGGGACAACCAAAGAGAAAACAAAGCCCAGGCCAUUACAUUGUGCCUACCAGGUGGCUCCUCUCCCUAAGUACCAUCAGAACAAUGAACUGAGCAUCAGAGAUGUGAACUGCUCCGACAUGCUGAGAGCUGAACUCUGCCUGCUUCCUUACGCAGACAACAUGGACACAUUUACUCACCAAAGGAGGCUCAUAAGGCGCUCCUGCAGUCUUGAAGACACUCUGACCAGAAGCGCCACUUUCCACCCUUUAACCCAGACCACAGACCACCAAGAAGAGGAGGGGUCGCUACGACAACGACGAAUAACCAUUGCAUCAUAUAUGCCUCAGUCCAAGGAUCAGAAUGGAAACUUCCCUGAGAAGGACAUGGACAAGAGACAGCUCCACACAUGUCUUGGGGAGCUGAACACAGAUGAAGUCUGCCAGUGGUUUACCAGUAUUGGACUGCAGAAAUGUCUUCCUUUCAUCAGAGAAGUGAAACUGUGUGGGGCAGACAUAGCAUCGGUGGAUGUGAACACUCUGGACAUCCUCCAUAUCGCCACGCUGGAGGAGAGGGAGCAGCUACUGUCGGCCAUUUAUAAGGAACUGCACCCUUCCAGCACCAUCACCCAGAGACUCGACUCUCUGCUUGAAUCCUUAUUCCCGAACAAUGUCGAGACAUACACUGCGACAUUAGCGUCAAUGAGCAGAUCUAAGUCCUCUCCUCAUGUGAGCUGCCUGAGCAUGAAUAGGCGUUCCCUCAAACUCAGAAACAACAGCCAAAACUACAUGUCACAGAGGAAUUCUCAGCUGAUAGAGAUUACUAUUAAUGCAUCAGAGCGGAUAGUUCAUCUCCGAACCCCAAAGGAAACAACAGUGGGUAAAAUCAUGGAUUCAUGCAUCAACAUGUUGGGAAGGACAGAAGAUAAGAGCCUCUUCACACUGAGAGAAAAGCAAGGUUCAUCAGAGGACCUCCCACCAGAUCAGCAGAUCGGCAUCCUACUGACAGCGACAUCAGAGUACAGACAAUUGGAGCUGCACUUGUGUAAAACGACAGUUGGACGUUCGUCUCUUGGAAAAGAUGAAGCUGAACUGCUAAGUGUUUAAGGAGGAGAUUUCCAUGAUACAUCUCAACCGGCAGCUCGCACACCUCCAAAAUGCUUUGCAAGAAAGCUAUGUUAAGGAGAAAGAUCGCAAUAAAGGUUUGGCCGUUGGCAGCCUGAGCCAGCUGAUGUCACUGCAGUCUCCUGCCAUGCUGCUGGUUGUCCAAGAGAACCAUAACCCCGAUGGCCAGUAUGGCUUUUCGUGUCGCUACCGAGAAGGCAGUGGACUAGUUGUGGUGAAGGUGGACAACUCUCACCUCUCUGUGGAUGACAGACUGGUGGAGGUGAAUGGUGUGCCGGUGGUCAACUCUACACAGGAAGAGCUGACCGACAUCCUGCUGCAGGGACCCAGUGCGACUAUUGUUGUCCUUCGCCAGCCCCCGUCCAACCCAACCUGCCAGCCGCACCCUCUGGUCCUGCAGCGCAUUGGCUACCCUGAUCCCGUGCCAACAAUCAACCCAGAAGGGUGUGUGGUCACCAUGGAAACCCCUCCACGACGGAAGGUGAUGGCCAUCUGAUGAUAGAUGAAGAGAAAAAAGACAACUACACAGACCGAGGGAAACAGUGGCGAUGAGGAUGAAGCAAAGUGUUGCUGAUAUGUCUGUGGAAUGACCCAUACAGUGAAUUGCCAUUUGAUCUUUUGUUCGUUAACUCCAUAUGUGAAGAUGUCUGUGUUGAAAUAUUUUUUAUAGAUUGUAGUUUAAGUUUUCAACAUCACAUAGUUAUAUAGCUGUGUUGUUAUGGGAUGUUUUCUCUAUUAAGCCUCCCACGUGGACAUUGUUCGUGGUCGAUAAAACCGUUUUAAUGUUUGAAGAACACUGUCUAUGAAAAAAAUGUAUUUCAGAGUUGAAAACAUGUGACUCUGCUAUAUCGUAAAUAGUGUAAAGACACAUCCAAAAGCUUUGUAUCCUGAUUUCUCCUUGAGGAUUAUACACUAGGGUGGUCUGGAACAGUGUUCAGAGCAGAAUAUUUCUUAAAACAUGAGUCACGUCUCUUUUUUAUGUGUUCUAAUGUAAUCCACUGUGCUGUAGGAAUAAACCCUUGGGCCCGGAAAUGCCUCAUUUCUCA